rnacentral:rRNA from 1 species
UUGGAUGGCCAAGUCCACUAAAUGCACCUGUUCUCAUCUAGUCUCAACAACUAAGCAGUGCUGGGCCUGGCUAGGAUUUAUAUGGGAGACCUACCUUGGAAACCCAGGGAGUCCGAU